rnacentral:lncRNA from 1 species
AUUCUAGGCAGUGGGGAUGCAACGGUGAAGCCGAGGACAAGGCCCCCAUGCGAAGGAAACAGGGAGCAGAUCUGCAGAGAUGAAAUGCCAGGGUUGGCCGGGAAUUCCAUACCCGACCUGAAUCCAUAUCUACCGGACCCCACAUCUGCCGUCCGACCCAAUGAGGGAGAUAAUAGUUGGCACCGGGUGUGAAUGACCUCAUCAACAUCCUUCCGCCUCUGAGAGAAGAGCUGCUGGAGACUCCUGGAUGUCUGGCCCAAAGCUGGAGGCUCUGAAAGGGCUGAGAGAUGAUUUGGAAGAUACCAUUUGACUGCUUUUUACUGACGUGACCAUAUGUCUACCCGGAGAUUGGAGACCUUGGACAGCUGGAGACCAAUGAAGACAAGAGAGCUGCUCUUUGUGUGACGCAUUUCCUCACCCAGCCGCAGAUUGCAACAGAGGAGAUGAGAUAAAGAUGAGGAACCUCAACAGAAAGGAUGGAUGUAAACAGUGGGUUUGCUGUGCAGUGACAAGAGCCCAGCUUGGGAAGGGUGUUGAGUGGGGUGAAGAUGUCACAGGAACUCACGAAAGCCAGAGGAGUUCACAGUUCAGAGAAGCUUUUUGAGCUCCCAAGAGGAUGUAAAGGGCACAAGGUCACCUUUAUUGAACUGUUUUCCUGUUGGCCAUCCCUUCUGGGCCCCAAGUUCUGCAUUUGCAGCAUCUGGCACAGUGCUGGGCACAUCCUGAGCUUGAGAAAAGGUAGGUGAACCAAGAAAUGCAUGAAUGAAUGAACAAGGGGUCCGAUAAUGGCUUCUGGGUAGAUGGAUUCUUUGUGGAAGUUGGGAAAAGGCUGAGGGAUCCUGAGAUGGAGAGGAAUCUGAGAGAGGAGAAGGAUGCAGGAGUGGUGGUUGACUAGCCCCUCACCCCAUGCUGCCUCCUGCUGACUCACAUGUCUUGGAACUCCCGGGCUUUGCAGCCUCCUAUCCCGGGCCCCUGGCUCUCAGCCCUCCUUUCCGCCUGUCGGCCACUUAAUCACAUACAGAAGAAGUAAACUCCCCAAGGUCCCUGUUGUGUGGUCCUCUCCUCAAAGUCUGUUUCCCCACCUCGAUUUCUGGAAGUCCCUUUGGAGGAUCUGACAGACAGUCUCCCUUUCCCACCCCUCCAGCUGGACAGGCUCAGGAAACAGAAGGAGUUUUCUGGGAACAGACUGGAGAGGAGGAGCCAGUUAAAGUGACAAAAGGCACAAGUUUGAACUUCCUGUGUCCUGCGCCUGCUGCCGGAGCAGGGCUCUGAGCUGCCUCCAGAAUGGCCCACUGGUCAUGGGGGAAGUAAGAGAGAUUUGCUCACAGCAGGGCAUUUACUUAUAAGCUGGCCCACCCUGGGAUUUGGCCUCGAUGGUGGACAAUCUCCCUGCAUAAGGAAACCCUCUGCAGGGAACUCUUCCAAGGGAGAAGGAGACCAGCCAGACAAGCCUGGCCCGGGAUCAAAGCUCUGGGCCUCAGAGGGUGGGCUGAGUCGAGGAUGGGCUGGAUCUAACUUCUGGGUCAGCGCCAUGAGCAGCGCAGACCCGGCAUGACAGCGGGAUUGGGGGGGGGGGGCAGCACCCCUCCUCGUUGGCUCUUGGAACCUGGCCUUUUGGGCACCUGCCUAGGAGGUGUCAGAAACCAGCAGAGGCCAUGUGUGUGUGGUGGCCGCAGGGCUGGUCAUGCUCCAGGGGGUGGGAGGAGGCCUGGGAGGUGGGGCUGGUUUCUCAGAGACCCAGGACACUUGUUUCAAAAUCGGACGGAAAAAAAAAUGAACUUCUAAGACACAAAAGGUCACAUGCUGCAUGAUUCCAUUUAUAUGAAAUAUCCAGAAUAGGAAAAUCCUAAGAGACAGAAGGUAAAUUAGUGGUUGCCAGAGUCUGGGGAGAAGGGGAGAGUGGGCAGCGAUUGCUAAUGUGUUUGGGGUAUCUUGUUGGGGUGAUUAAAAUGUCCUGAAUUAGAUUGUGGUGAAGGUGGCACAAUCUUGAGACUAUACUAAAAACCACUGAAUUGUAUAUUUUAAAGUGGUCUACUUUAUGGCAUGUGGAUUAUAUCUCAAUAAAGCUAGUUGUUUUUGUUUUGUUUUGUUUUGUUUUUGUUUUGUUUUGUUUUAAAGACUAGGGAGUUAGGGACAGAAAAAGAAAAGGAGAGAAUCAAGAACAUUAGCAUAAUGUGUAAUCUUUAGCCAAAUAAAUAAGAAAUGUGUUAAAACAGAAAAAAAGCGAGAUGAGGUUAUACUAAACUAAAAUUAGAAAACAGGUUUCAUCUGGUGUAUUGACUCUGUUCGUGGCUUUUUGGAGUGCUGAGCUAGAGGUUUUAAGGCUGCAUUUAGACUCAAAAAGAUCAAACAGUGUGAUCACUUAGUGAUGUCUGCUCGAGGCAC